rnacentral:rRNA from 1 species
AGAGUUUGAUCAUGGCUCAGAACGAACGCUGGCGGCAGGCUUAACACAUGCAAGUCGAACGGGCGUAGCAAUACGUCAGUGGCAGACGGGUGAGUAACACGUGGGAACCUUCCUAGGGGUACGGAACAACUCAGGGAAACUUGAGCUAAUACCGUAUACGUCCGUGAGGAGAAAGAUUUAUCGCCCUUAGACGGGCCCGCGUCAGAUUAGCUAGUUGGUGGGGUAACGGCCUACCAAGGCGACGAUCCGUAGCUGAUCUGAGAGGAUGAUCAGCCACACUGGGACUGAGACACGGCCCAGACUCCUACGGGAGGCAGCAGUGGGGAAUCUUGGACAAUGGGCGCAAGCCUGAUCCAGCCAUGCCGCGUGAGUGAAGAAGGCCUUCGGGUUGUAAAGCUCUUUUGUCAGGGACGAUAAUGACGGUACCUGAAGAAUAAGCCCCGGCAAACUUCGUG